rnacentral:rRNA from 1 species
AUAUUGCGCAAUGGGGGCAACCCUGACGCAGCAACGCCGCGUGAUUGAAGAAGGCCUUCGGGUUGUAACGAUCUUUAAUCAGGGACGAAAUUUGACGGUACCUGACGAAUAAGCUCCGGCUAACUACGUGCCAGCAGCCGCGGUAAUACGUAGGGAGCAAGCGUUAUCCGGAUUUACUGGGUGUAAAGGGCGAGUAGGCGGGCUGGUAAGUUGGAAGUGAAAUCCCAGGGCUUAACCCCGGAACUGCUUUCGAAACUGCUGGUCUUGAGUGAUGGAGAGGCAGGCGGAAUUCCCAGUGUAGCGGUGAAAUGCGUAGAUAUUGGGAGGAACACCAGUGGCGAAGGCGGCCUGCUGGACAUUAACUGACGCUGAGGAGCGAAAGCGUGGGGAGCAAACA